UGACAUGGAAAUACAAUAGUUAACCUUUCUGUUAAUUGUGUCGGUGACCUAUAGCCAUUUUUUGGGAUGCUAAACAUUUCAUUUGCACCCGUGACACAGAAGUACAAUUGUUCGUCUGUCAGCCAAUUUGGUGGGUGACCG